UCAGCAUGGAGUUGGGACUGAGCUGGAUCUUCCUUGCUGCUCUUUUGAAAGGUGUCCAGUGUGAGGUGCACCUGGUGGAGUCUGGGGGUAGCCUGGUGCAGCCUGGGAGGUCCCUGAUACUCUCCUGCACAGCCUCUGGGUUCACCUUUAGUGACUACUGGAUGAACUGGAUGCGCCAAGCUCCCGGCAAGAGGCUGGAGUGGGUUGGAGAAAUUAAUAAAGAUAGCAGUAACACGGACUAUCCACCAUCCUUUAAGGAUCGAUUCACCAUCUCCAGAGAGAAUACCAAGAACACUGUCUACCUGCAAAUGAACAGUGUGAAGUUUGAGGACACAGCCAUGUAUUACUGUGUGAGAUCCACUGUAAGGGGAACUCAAUGUGAACCCUGA